GGUUGUGUGUUCUAGUGGAUUAUGAUUUCUCGUUCACAAGUAUGUGCACUUGAUCCCGAGAAGGUCGCAGGUUCGAGCCCUGCCACGAUCA
rnacentral:tRNA from 1 species